UUAAGUAGAGCUUGAAUAAGCAUUUAACUGUUAAUUAAAAGAUUUUUUUUACUUAAA
rnacentral:tRNA from 1 species